AUGCACGCUGGCGGCGUGCCUAAUACAUGCAAGUCGAGCGAACGGACGAGAAGCUUGCUUCUCUGAUGUUAGCGGCGGACGGGUGAGUAACACGUGGAUAACCUACCUAUAAGACUGGGAUAACUUCGGGAAACCGGAGCUAAUACCGGAUAAUAUUUUGAACCGCAUGGUUCAAAAGUGAAAGACGGUCUUGCUGUCACUUAUAGAUGGAUCCGCGCUGCAUUAGCUAGUUGGUAAGGUAACGGCUUACCAAGGGAACGAUGCAUAGCCGACCUGAGGGGGUGAUCGGCAACAUUGAAACGGGGAAAGGGUCCAGACUCUUACGGGAGGAGGAGUGGGGGAAUCUUCAGCAAUGGGCGAAAGCCUGACGGAGCAACGCGGCGGGAGGGAUGAAGGUCUUCGGAUCGUAAAACUCUGUUAUUGGUGAGGAGCAUAUGUGUAAGAAACUGUGCAGAUCUGGACGGAACCUAAUCAGAAGGCCAGGGCGAACUACGG
rnacentral:rRNA from 1 species